UUAUUCUUUAAGGUAUUUUUGAAUAUUUUUUCAUUCUCAAAAUGAGGCUAAAUACUUAACAAUGUGUUUACAAUAAGAAUAAUUACAAUUUUGCUCGAGCAACAGUUCCUGAUGUUGAUGAAUUUAAUCCGAAUUAUAUCUUUACAGACAGAUGAAGGAGUCUGAACAGCCAUAUCUGGUAUUGAUGGGAAGUUCGGAUCAUUUUACUGAGUCGGAUCUUUGAAUCACGUUCAGCAAAAUGAACUCAUCGUUUUUUCGAGUCAUUUCGUUCAUUUCAGCAGUAUAUAAUUACAAUGUUAUCUGUUAAUAGCCAAUUACCUACUGAACCGAUAGGAUGUUGCGCAUGCGCAGUCAAUACAAAAUGAACGAAUCACUCUCUGAGACGACUCGUUGUUCCCGAGUGAUAUUAAGGAUUCAUUCAAAAAGAAAGAAUCAUUCAUGAACGACACAUCACUAAUAUCUGGCAACCCAGGAGAAGGCAGCGCCCAGGGGUGUAUCUAGGAUUUGAAAACAUCAGGGGCUGAGCCCAAAACAUCCGGGGCUAAUUGAGGAGAGGGGGCCACUGGAGGAGACAUCCAAGCUGCCCUAGAGCUCAUAUUUGCUGGUGGAGCUCCAUGAAAUGCUGCAUACUCAAAGAACAUGCUGUGUAAUAUGUGUGCAGUUAUAGUUGUACAAAUAAUUCUUAAAUAUUUUAAAUAGAGAAGGUGUUCACCCCUUUAUCCUGAUAGGCGAACAUAUGUAUUUUAUUUAUUUUAAUGUCACUGAGUUAUUGGAGCCAAUCAUAGGCGUGUGUGCAUUUCUAAAGGGACAGAUAGCACUUUCCUCUCUGUGUGUGUGUGUAUGUGUGUGUGUGAGUUACUGUAUGCUGCCCUUUGAGGCAGCAGUUCAAAAAGUUUGGGCUCACAUUGGCUGGCUUCACAUGUCUCAGUUGGGGUGUGUGUUGGCCUUCACCCUCCCUGAUUCAGAAAAGCACAAAAAACAAAAGAAUUUUCUGAAAACAAAAAAUAAUAAUCAUUUUAAAAAUUACUGGUAAAAUUACAAUCAAUAUUUUUGGUAGGCACAUCUUUCUUUUCUUUAUGAAAAUGCUUCUUUAUUUUAUUUUUAGAGAGAUAUAGAGAUCCCGGUCUGUUCUUUUAUACUCUUGUCCAUUCUUGUGCAUGUGGACUUCAAAUGAAACCACAGGUUUUCUGUUGGGUUAAAAUCUGGAGACUGAGACGGUCAUUAUAAAACAUCUUUGGUUUGGAUUAGAAGCAUGUGUGUUGAAAGCUGUAUCAGUGAACCUCCUGGCAGAGGCAGCCAAGUUUUGGGCUGAAAUAUUCCUGGUACUUCAUUCAUCAUCAUGCUAUCAGUCUUCACAAGAGCCCCUGGACCACCAUUUUUGUGAGAUGAUGUGAAUUAGUGCUUAUUUCUUGCAGUGAUUCAGUUAUUUGUCCUGAAAGUGAUGUUUAAUGGUUGAUUUUGAGUGACAACUUGACUGUGGGAAUCAAUUCUAAAACUGUGAUGCAACAGGGAACAGGUUCCAGGGAACUUUCUUCUUUUUUUUCCACAUAUAUGCACUAUAUUGGCAAAGGUUUUGGAACACCCCUCCAAAUCAUUGAAUUCAUGGCUUGGCCCCUUAGUUCCAGUGAAAGGAAUUCUUAAUGCUUCAGCAUACCAAGACAUUCUGAACAAUUUCAUGCUCCCAACUUUGUGGGAACUAACCCUAACAUCAGUGCCUGACCUCACAAAUGCACUUCUAGAGGAAUGGUCAAAAAUUCCCAUAAACACACUCCUAAACCUUGUGGAAAGCCUUCCCAGAAGAGCUGAAGCUGUUAUAGCUGCAAAGGGUGGGCCAACUCCAUAUUACAUUCAUGUGCAUGUAAAGGCAGACGUGAAUUCCCAAAACCUUUGGCAAUAUAGUGUACUUGUAAAGAUAUAUAAUAAGAAUAAUAUAUUAUAACAAGCAUGUAUUUAUUUAAAUUAUUCCUGAUGGUUGUCAAUAAUUUUGUACAAGUAAUCAGCACAAUGCAAAAAUCACAUGAAUACUAAUCAAGAGCUUCGACACUGGUGGCUCAGUGGUAGGUUUCUCACCUAUCAUGUGGAAGGCCCGGGUUCAAUUCACAGCCAGUGCCCGACCCCAGCCACUGGAUGUAGCGCCGGUCCCAAGCCCGGAUAAAAUGGGAGGGUUGCGUCAGGAAGGGCAUCCGGCAUAAAAAACCUGUGCCAAGUUGUUGUGCGGACCAGUUGGUCUGCUGUGGCGACCCCAUGACAUGGUUGUGGAUACCAGAUGAGCUGGUUUGAGAAUUUCCACAGAACAUAUAUUGCUCACUCAGAAUUUAAUAGUUUUUUCCCCCACCACUCUGUGUAAACUCUACAGACUGCUUUGUGUGAAAAUAAAAUACUCAAAACCAGCCCAUCUGGCACUAACGUCCAUGAAGAUCUUGACCUGUAUCUGCAUGAUACAGCUGCUGCCACAUAAUUGGCUGAUUAUUUAACUGUAUAAAUGUACAGAUGUGUACAUUAAAAAUAAAUUGGAUGAUGAGUA